AUUAAAAUGCCACACCACUACCUGACACCUUAUCACUAUUAUUAACCACUAAUGCCAUGUAAUGAGUUAGUAGACAUGUAAUGAGCGAGAGUUAACAGAUGAAAUAAAAUAAAAAAGUCAUUUAUUAAAACAAUUUACUAAAAAAAAAAAAAAAGAAAUUAUACUCCAGAGUGAUAAAUCCUAAAACAAGCUAUAAGCUGGACAGACAUAGCAAUACCAGUGUUUGUCACAGGAUUUUUAGUAAAACUGUGGUAUGGGUGGACCUCGGUCCUUCUAGGGGGGUCUCGCCAACCCCCCACCCCAGAAGACUUUUUUGUGCUUUUUAAUGUUAAAUUCAUCAAUCUGGUGCACUUUGAGAGUUCAAAAUAAAAAGCUCUAACCCAUAUUCAGUGUGCAAAUUGAACAAAGAAAAACUCAAUCCUCUUUUAGUUAGUGUCUGUCUACAUUGCACUAAUAAUAAAAGCCAUUGUAAAACAAAUGCACUGAUAAAUAAAGGAAACAUUCAUAAUUAGUUUUCACACGUUUAACCUACCUGUCAGUCUCGCAGCUCGCAUCAGCUUCAUGUGGCCAAUGAGAAAGACACAUAGACCUUUCUCAUAUCUUCCAUAUUUGUGGCCGGAAAUACGCAAUUGUCGUGGUGAUCUACUUCCGUUAGAUCCAUUACAAUUUGCAUAUCAAGAGGGCAAGGGGGUAAAGGAUGGAAAGCUUUUCAUUCUUGACAGGGUGUAUAAACAUCUUGAGAAACCUGCCUCACACGUAAGAAUUUUAUUUGCUGACUUUAGUUCAGCUUUUAACAAAAUGCAGCCCCAUAUCCUAAUUGAACGAUUAGCCUCACAUUUUAAGUUACCCGAGCAGAUCUUAUUAUUAGUUUUAAAAUUUUUAACAAAUAGAAGGCAGCAGGUAUAUGUAAAUGGUAAAAUGUCAUCUGUCAUCGUGUCUCUCCUCAGGGCUGUGUGCUUUCACCCUUGCUGUUUAUAUUAUACACCGACAACUGCAGGUCAUCUUGGGAGAACAGCUAUUUGGUAAAGUUCUCAGACGACACAGCCCUGUUGUCCCUAUUACAGGACAACCAAUCUGAUCAGCAAUUGGACUCGUUUCCAUCCUUUUUGGCGUCUCCUGCAUUUGAAGUCAUUGCUUUCAUCUGAUUCAGCAGCUGUCCAUCUGCAUUUCUGUUUGCAUUACUCUGCUUACAUUUUGAACCCUUAGCGAUAAUAAAAGUGUUUUCCAUUUUGGU